CCGCUCUCGCCGAGCGAGCACCAUAGAGGUACAAAAAGGAGCAUGCCUGCCUCUAUGGUCGCAGCUGUAGAUGUGUCUGGCAUGGCACAGAGUUCCAACUGCGCGAAACUGCAUCAACCUUCCAGUGCAGUUGCAGUGGAAAGUAAAGAAACAUUUGCGAAAUGGACAUCUCUCUUUGCACUCCGCUUCAGAGCUUUUACUAACAAGAUACCACUGGAACCAAACGCAGAACAUUGCAUGACAUGUAAUAGAAGAAAAUAGAAGAAAUCCAAACAAGCAUUGGAAAAGAAAGAUGAUAUAUCUGUUUCACCUGGGCAAGAGACGAGGGGCACUGGAGGAAAGAGAAAUAUUCAUGACAUAGGAAGAUGCAAUGGAGCUGAAUCUGCAAGGCAAAACAGACACAGCACACAGAAAAGGAGAAAAGAAGUUGGAAUCUGCAAGAAAAGUGAAAUGGUGUUUGAGGCUGGCUCUUCCUCCUGAAACCACUGCAGGUAGCCCCUUCAGGGACCACAGCAGAGCCACCCUUCCCCUUUCACAGUAUUCAACUUUUGUUGAGUGGCAGUGUCCCUAACCCCUAUGAAGGUGGAGGGGUGGCUACAUUGUUUUUAAAGCCUUUUCUGCUGGUAGGGACAAAAGGCAGGGGUAAAAGCUUGAAACAUCCUAAAAUUACAAAUGCCUUGUCUGAAUCUUGAAACAAAGUCAGUAAUUGCAGUACUAAAACUCCUAACCUUGUCAUUUAUUUGGUCAAUUUAAUUGAUGGUCCAGCACUGAAAGCAUGCUGGUUCACAUCCUUAACUAUUUUCUUUAAAAUCCCAAUCAAAAGAAAGUGCAAUCCAUGAUCUGAAAAUUAUCCCUCAGCUUUGCAGAAUUUUCCUACCCCAUGUCAGGAUGCAGUAUACAGCUAAAUCCUUCUAUUACAUAGAAGUUGGAAGCAUCAGGUGGAUUAAUGAUUCUCAGUGUGUCUGGUUGGCUUCAGUAAUAUGGCAGUAUAUGUCUGUAUGCAGACCAUUCACUGAACCCAUCCAUAUUUUAUUAGUUCAGUAAUAGUUUUUCACAGUAUAGUAAUGGAGAAGAAGCAGUCAGGUAAGAAGAUUCCACUGUAGUAGGCAUUUAUUGUAUGCCUAAUGAUAUAUAGGCUCCCUUUGCAAUUUUUUCAAUAAACUGUUCAUGUGUCUUAACGUACUGAACUUCAAAGGAAUUUUUUUCAUUAAUUAAGACCAGCAGAAGAGUGUCUAUAUUAUAAAAAAUGUAAUACAGUACAGAGGGGUUGCAUCUGUCUGGUAGAUCCAUAACCUGAGCACUAUCAAACACAUCUCAGUUAGCCAGAACUGAGUGGUAGUAAUGAUUUAAACAAUGUAGUACUGAGCCUAUCAUGUACUGUGAUCAUGUUAAUUUCCUAUUGUAAUACCCAAAGCAAAAUCUUUCCGGUUUGCUAAAUCUAUUUUAUCCCAUUUGUAAUUGAUUCUUACAAAUACAGGAUAUGUAUUUGUACUGUAGUAGAAAGGAUCAAAAUAUAACAUCAAGAGUUGCUGAUGUUGUAUUGUACUGCAGGAACUCCCAGUUAGUUUCUGGGCAUAAUUUGGAAAAGUUAUAUUUUGGAAAGAAGGUCUAGAAUGUCACAUUCAGCAUGGCUGGAGGCCACUACACCAAAUAAUUAAAUUUUCCAAGCUGUUUUCCAGUAAAAUAGCAAUACCAAAUGUCAACAUCCAUUUGAUCAAGAAUUUUUGAGAUGUGGUCUAGUUUUCCAUCAGAAACUAGAUCAUCAUUACGUCAAGCCAAAAUGUGACUGAAAUCAAGUUGACAUUUCAUUAAGAGUCAUAUCAAAGCACCUGCCAAAAUGAACUAUUUACAGGCAGGUUUAAGCUCACCUGAGAAACCAGUCAUUCUUCCAUCAUCAAAGCCUCUAAAACAACCCCUUUCAGGACAUACUCCUAAAACCAUCAAUUUCCUCAUACACAUCAUUGAACAACAAUUAUUCAUCAUUGGGUGAUGGUACAUUUAUGUUAUUGUGAUUUUCAGGGCAUGGUGAAGCAGAAUAAAUAUAUCCUUUAGUCUCUCUUUCAGAAAAAGUGUUCACCGUGAACAACUGAUGCUUAGUAUCUUUACUGUUUCUUUGGCAUGCUUCAUUUUCAUGUUGCCAUGACAUAAUCAUGAAUAGUGAAGGAGGUAUGUCACAAAAUACAGCAACUCCAUGAAGUGUUGAUCAAGAUUUGAAUCAUGUUUACAUCCACAGCCUUCUGAAUAUAUGCACACAUACACAGAGUCUUUUUUAUAUUAGCUAUGAUAUGAAGUAAACAAAAGCAACAAUAGCACUCAUGCUUGGAACAUGAACUGAUUUAAAUUAAAUUAUUUGGGAAGUUUUUUUAUCAUGUCAGAAAUGACUUGAGAACAUACAGCAAGUCGCUUCUGGUGUGAGAGAAUUGGCCAUCUACAGAGACAUUGCCCAGGGGACGGCCAGAUGUGUUACCAUCCUGCUGGGAGGCUUCUCUCAUGUCCCCACAAGCUAGAGCUGACAGACAGGAGCUCACCUGGUCUCACAGAUUCAAACUGACAACCUUCAGGUCAGCAACCCAACCUUCAGGUCAGCAGUCUAGUCGGCACAAGGGUUUAACCCACUGCGCCACUGUGACUCCAUUUGGGAAGUACAGUUGUAUAACCAUGUACCACAAUUUUUGUUUCUGGGUUAUAAAUGUCAUUUUCUAAUUGAGUCUAUCAUAAAAAUAUGGAAAAAGUUUAUUAAACUGUAAAAACCUUG